CUCUCUCUCUCUCUCUCUCUCUCUCUCUCUCUCUCCUGCUAUGAUGCCCCGGAACUACUCAUCUGAUCUAAUGUCAUUGCAGGUUAAUCGGCUUUGUAGAGAGAGAUGUCCAUGGUUCCAUACUUGACGGGGUGGCCCUCCACAAGCUAGAACCUGAAGAACCUGCACGUUAGCACCAUCGUCUUCACAUGCAGGUACGCUGAAACUUUGCCCAGGCGGAUUUGCGGCCCCUCCUUGCACAGCGACCCAUGGCGUUGCGCACCGUCGCCGCCGAUCCACUGCUCUGGCCGGAAUCUAGCGGAGACGGGCCCUCAGCUGUACUCCACCCGCCCCAUGGAGCAGGGAACCUACAUCACCAUCCACUGGCGCGCAUCUCCUUUCCUUCGAUGGUGCCGAUGACCUCGCCCAUGAACCGAUAUCUCUUACCUUAAUCGCCAAGUAUCUCUCAAAUUGGCUGUUUAUUUUGCAUCCUGCAUGUAUAUUUUCGCUCAUAGUAGUGCCAUUAUGUAUGUAGUAGCUUCCUCACGCCAUCUGAUUGAUAUUGAGAUGUACAAAUUCAUCCAAGGCUCCAUUCAUAAAUCAUAACUCUACCCUACUAUUUUACUAAUUUAUUGUGAGGUUAUCCUUCAUGGUUUGCACAUUGUUAUUUCUUAGGCACAUAGACGCAUGAAUGUCCUUAUUAAUAAAUAUUUUUGUUCCAGCGAUUCCCUACUGAAGAAAGAACGCGCAAACAUUGCCAUGCAAAGGACUAUUUGUUAGAUAAUGAUUCCUCGCGUAUUCAUUUUCUUCCUGUCUUGGGAGAUAAUUUUCCAGAUUCUACCUUUACAGAUGGCCUUUAUCACUUUUCAGGUAAAACAAUGAAUUAUCUUUGUUUGUUCUAGGAGAUAUAUACCACCGUUGGGAACCAAGGAAAGAAAGGCUCCUUCUUCCAUCUUCGUCAUUUGCAAUAUCAAUUGGAUCUCUCCGUUGUGAAGUGCUAUCUUCGCUAUCUACACUCACAAUGUUACUGAUUUGUGUCCAAUCACGACGACACCUUAGCACCAGUAAGGUGCAUGCGCAUAUUUUGAGGGGCGCCCCCUAACAACCAUGUCACCGCAGUUCGAUGGAAGGUCAAGAUGGCUAGGCAGCAGUCGCCAGACCACUACCGUGUUAGCAGUCCCGAGUCGCGACGGUCACCGAGUGUACGCGGAUAUGGUGGAAAGCGGGCGCACGCAUCUGGCAAACUUCAAGCACCGGUCACACAAUGGGAGGAAUGUGUUUGUGACAAGUGAGCUGUGAAUGGCUAGGGUCGAGGAUGGCCAGAGAAAGAGGGAGGGGUAGAGACAAAGAGUAUGUGUGUGUGGUGGGCACACCCCACCGUCGUUGCCUCCUAUGGACCGACCUUCUCUAGCGACAACGGUAGGGUUUGGUGGCCGUGCAGGAACUUUUUUAGGAGGCAAUGGUGCCUUCGCAGUUGCCCAAGAGCGAUUCGAGAGGCGGCUAUAGUUUUCUCUAAGUUGUGCAAAUUCGACAACGAUUCAGUUUCAAAGAAUUCAAUGCAAUUGUAUAUUCUAUCUAACACCUCAUGAAUACAUAACCAACACUUGUUCCUAGCAGAUGGAUAUAGAUUUUUAGUUUGAAAACAAUAACAAUAUAAAGUGAAAGCUGGACAAUGCCACAACUAGUAUAUAGUAGAAUGUAAAAUCGCGAACUGGCCGUAGCUCAAGUGAUUACGUUCCUUGUUCAAGUGCUAAGCUUAGCAUCAUGCUCGUAUUUUUCUAGAUAUAUUUUAAACUUUUCGACGAUGUUCGUUAAAUGAAAAGAGACGCUCCCAUCAAGUACAAAGGUGUCUACAACGACUUCAUCAUCUUAAG